rnacentral:rRNA from 1 species
GAAAGUAAGCAAGGGCGCAUGGCGGAUGCCUUGGCUCUCGGAGGCGAUGAAGGACGUGAUAAGCUGCGAUAAGCUUCGGGGAGGUGCAAAUAACCUUUGAUCCGAAGAUUUCCGAAUGGGACAACCCAAUAUCUUGAAGAGAUAUUAUCCAACCUGGUUGGAGGCUAACGCAGGGAACUGAAACAUCUUAGUACCUGCAGGAAAAGAAAAUAAUAAUGAUUCCCCCAGUAGUGGCGAGCGAACGGGGAAUAGCCCAAACCGGUUAUGUUACGGCAUAACCGGGGUAGUAGGACUACGGCAUUGCAUGAAAACAGCAGAGAAGAACUUUCUGGAAAGAAAGACCAUAGAGCAUGACAGUUGCGUAUUCGAAUGUUGUCGAAGCAUAGUAGUAUCCUGAGUAGCGCGGAGCACGAGGAAUUCUGCGUGAAUCAGCCGGGACCAUCCGGUAAGGCUAAAUACUCCCGAGAGACCGAUAGUGAACCAGUACCGUGAGGGAAAGGUGAAAAGCACUUCGAACAGAAGAGUGAAAUAGUCCCUGAAACCAUACGCCUACAAGCAGUCGGAGCCGCUUCGUGCGGUGACGGCGUGCCUUUUGCAUAAUGAGCCUACGAGUUACUCAUCACCAGCGAGGUUAAGUACUUCAGGUACGUAAGCCGAAGCGAAAGCGAGUCUGAAUAGGGCGUCAAGUUGGUGGUGGUAGACGCGAAACCUUAGUGAUCUACCCAUGGGCAGGGUGAAGGUUUGGUAACACAAACUGGAGGCCCGAACCGGUAAACGUUGAAAAGUUUUCGGAUGACUUGUGGGUAGGGGUGAAAGGCCAAUCAAACUGGGAAAUAGCUCGUACUCUCCGAAAUGCAUUUAGGUGCAGCCUCUGUUGUUUUGUUCUAGAGGUAGAGCUACUGAUUGGAUGCGAGGGCUUCACCGCCUAUCAAAUCCGGCCAAACUCCGAAUGCUAGAACAUGAAGACAGGGAGUGAGCCAGCGGGUGCUAAGGUCCGUUGACGAAAGAGGGAGAACUCAGACCAUCAGCUAAGGUCCCCAAUUGUAUGCUAAGUUGGAAUUAAAACGGGGUGGGACUGCUUAGACAGCUAGGAUGUUGGCUUGGAAGCAGCCAUUCAUUUAAAGAGUGCGUAACAGCUCACUAGUCGAGCGGUCCUGCAUGGAUAAUACGCGGGCAUAAGCAUAUAACCGAAGCUAUGGGAUUGUAGAUGAUACAAUCGGUAGGAGAGCAUUCCAUUCAGCAUAGAAGCAGUACCGUGAGGUAUUGUGGAGCGGAUGGAAAAGCAAAUGUAGGCAUAAGUAACGAUAAUGCGGGUGAGAACCCCGCACGCCGAAAGAUCAAGGAUUCCCCGGCAAUGUCAAUCAUCCGGGGGUAAGUCGGAUCCUAAGGGUAAGCCGAGUGGCGAUCCCGAUGGUAAACAGGUUAAUAUUCCUGUACUGAUCAUAACUGCGAUGCAGCGACGCAGAGGUGACACUGCUGCGUACUGACGGAAUAGUACGUUGAAACCCGUAUUCUUUGAUACCGGUAGUGAAGCACGCCGGUAGAGAUGAAAGGUGAUAGUACCGCAAUGCUUCGGUUGCGCGGAUAAUGCAGGUAAGCUGACUGCCAAGAAAACCUGCUAAGCUUCAGGUAAUGAUCAUCCGUACUGUAAACGGACACACGUGAUCAGGUAGAAAAUACUAAGGCGCUCGAGAGAUUCAUGGUUAAGGAACUAGGCAAAAUGGUCCUGUAACUUCGGGAUAAAGGACGCUCUUGUGAAAGAGCCGCAGAGAAUAGGCCCAAGCGACUGUUUACCAAAAACACAUGGCUAUGCUAAUUCGCAAGAAGAUGUAUAUGGCCUGACACCUGCCCGGUGCCGGAAGGUUAAGAGGAGAGCUCAGAGGCAACUCGAAGGUUUGAAUUGAAGCCCCGGUAAACGGCGGCCGUAACUAUAACGGUCCUAAGGUAGCGAAAUUCCUUGUCGGGUAAGUUC